rnacentral:RNase_P_RNA from 2 species
GAAGUCAACCGGAUGGUCGCGGAGACAAGUGCCGAAAGGUAGUUCUCUGAGGAAAGUCCGAGCUCCAACGGGCAGGGUGCCGGGUAAUUCCCGGUGGGGGUGACCCCAAGGAAAGUGCAACAGAGAUAUACCGCCGCACUUAGCGGUAAGGGUGGAAAGGCGAGGUAAGAGCUCACCGGCAGUCAGGUAACUGGCUGGCCAUGCAAACCCCACCUGGAGCAAGACCAAAUAGGGGAACAAUGGAGCGGCCCGUUCCGUUCCCGGGUAAGGUCGCAUGAGGCUGUCGGUAACGUCAGUCCUAGAUAGAUGAUCAUCACCUCGCAAGAGGUACAGAACUCGGCUUAUAGGUUGACUUCGGAA